rnacentral:rRNA from 1 species
UAUGUGAUCGUCUCUCGCAUAUCAAUAAGCGGAGGAAAAGAAACUAACAAGGAUUCCCUUAGUAACGGCGAGUGAAGCGGGAAGAGCUCAAAUUUGAAAUCUUCAAGGUUUUACCUUGACGAAUUGUAGUUUAAAGAAGUGUUUUCUGUUGAAGUUUUGGUAAAAGUUCUUUGGAAUAGGACAUCAUAGAGGGUGAGAAUCCCGUAUUUGACCAUUAUUUUCAGCUGUGUGAUACACUUUCAAAGAGUCGGAUUGUUUGGGAAUGCAGUCCAAAAUGGGUGGUAAAUUUCAUCUAAAGCUAAAUAUUGGCGAGAGACCGAUAGCGAACAAGUACCGUGAGGGAAAGAUGAAAAGAACUUUGAAAAGAGAGUUAAACAGUACGUGAAAUUGUCAAAAGGGAAGCGUUUGACACCAGUGUUGUUUUCUCGAAAAUCAAUUAAAAAGAGUUAGAUUUUGCUGUGUAUUGACCUUAACAGCUUGCAUUUCAAUUUUCUUGCUUUUCUUAAUGCACUUUUCGUUUAACAAGUCAACAUCAGUUUCUUUUGUUGUAAAAAGGUCAUUGGAAGGUGGCUUUCUUUUCGGAGAAAGUGUUUAUAGCCUUUGACUCCUGCAAUCGGAGAGAUUGAGGUCUGCAGCGUAGAUCCUUCGGGGUUAGAUACAUUUGUGCUAAGUUAUAGCUUUUUAUAGACAACUUGUUGACUAUGAUUAGUCUUGUAGCUUACUCGCUUAUGCUAUUUUACCUACGCUUAGGAUGUUGAAGAUGUAGCACAUCAU